AUUCACUCACACUCAUGGAAAUUUCGAGACCACAUGAGGCAGACAAAUCGAGUUCUCGAAGAGACUGAACGGCACCACUCGGGGUAUAAAUAGAGGCUCGCGCUCCGACAGCAGUCAUUCGAAAAAAUAAGUGUUGAAGUGAAGUUCUCCGUGAAACAAAAAAAAAACAGUUCAAAUAUAAAAUUAUUCCCCAUCACAGUGUUUAUACUACAUAAAGUUAUAUAUACACAUGUAUAUAUUCUAUACAUAUAUUCGCAUUAGUCAUCAACAAUGAAAAAGUGUAAAACAACUGCCUUAAAGGCAAAGCUGAGAAGUUACAACAUGGCACGAAGGCUGAAAUAAUCGAUAGUUCCACAUUUUCACCACAUUUGGCUGUGAACAAAGAAAACACGUCGACAUCUCGUUUGUGGGCACAAUCGGGCUAAUUUCGCAAUGAGGAAAAUGGGCGACACAUAACCACAUAACCACUUGGCAGUGCUGAAACAGAGUUGUUCCUCUUUGUCUAGAAAGUUGGUCAUUAGGCAGGCUGUAAAGGCGACAGAUGCCCGGGGCCAGGAGUUUCGGUUGCCAGGCUAAAAAGGCUUAGGCAGGCAAUGAAGGCGCUCUAUUAUCCAUGGCCAUUGUCGGUGUGUGUCUGGACUUGAGGAGUUGGCAUAGGAUACCAGUUGGGCGUUGAAAAGUUGAUAUGCGAUCGAUCGAACUUGUAACUCGAAACUCGAAACCCUUUGCAGCCAAUUGCUGAAAAUGCAUUUGACUCACAUUUGCCAAGUCUUGGCAAGAGUUCAGAGUUCUGCGACUGAGUCGCGGCCUACACAGGGUUACGUCGUUUUUAUCAGAUUGAUUGCGUGGAUUGAAUUAAUAGGAACCAAUAUCGACUUCUCUGCUCUACUAUGACUUGUUGCAAAAGGCGUCCAGUUAUUUACGGCCUUCUGUUUGUUACCUAUCAUCAUCGAGCCGAUAUCAGUAUCGACCAAACAAUGUACUCUUGACAUCGAUCGCUUAAAUCAAUUCAAAUAUCGUACCGGAGUAGAAACUGAACGAGCUGAAUGGUAGUUCGUUAGAUGCGCCGCUAACAACAAUCUAUUAUUCAUUUUAUUUUCUUUGUUUUAAUCAUAAACAUGAGGAGUACACACACAACGUGUUACUUAAGUUUCUAACAACACCUGAUAUUAUAUGAUUUUUCUGUUUUGUACACAUCAAGAUAUAAGAAAACUUUUGACCUAUAUUGUUGUAAUUAUACUUGUCCAAAACAAAAAUAGAAAGAAAAAAAUCAGAAAAAGAAAGCGCUCACUCACAGAAAAGAAGCAUAAAACAAAAGAAUAAAAGAUGAAAUGAAUUCUAAUAAAUUUCGAAACAAU